GGGGGGUAAGAUGUACGCAGUCCAUACCUCUACCUCUGAUGAAGUAGAAAGGCUGUUUCCGAAAGACCCCCGGCUCAAGGCACAAGAUAUCACACAAACACAUAGUAAAGCACAGAAGCAGAUGACAUAACAUAAAUACGGCACCCAUAAGGAAUAUAAAACAGAGGAAAGCACACAGAUUCGUAAUAAGCAUGGAACACUGAAUACAGAAUCAUAACGGGAAUAAAAAAUAAAAAAUAAAAAAAAACCCCCACCAAGUAAUUCCCUACCCUAGCGACCCAAUCUGGCCCUACUCUUCUGCUGUAAUUCGCGUCUUCCAGACCUUCCUAUCUAGGGUCAUGUCCUCGGUGAGCUGUAACUGUUCCAUGUCCCGCCUAAUCACCUCACCCCAGUACUUCUUCGGCCUACCCCUACCCCGCCUAAAACCAUCCAACGCUAGCCUCUCACACCUACGGACCGGGGCAUCCAUGCCCCUCCUCUUCACGUGUCCGAACCAUCUCAAUCGUGCUUCCCGCAUCUUACACUCCACUGAAGUCACACCAACCUUCUCCCGGAUAGUCUCAUUCCGAACUCUAUCCCCUCGAGUCAGUCCACACAUCCAGCGCAACAUCCGCAUUUCUGCCACCUUCAUUCUUUGGGUGUGGGAGUUCUUAACUGGCCAACACUCCGCUCCAUACAGCAAGG
rnacentral:lncRNA from 1 species